GUCCACGCCGUAAACGAUGGGUACUAGGUGCCUGGGGGAGCGACCCUCUGGGUGCCGGCGCUAACGCAGGAAGUACCCCGCCUGGGGAGUACUACCGCAAGGUUGAAACUCAAAGGAAUUGACGGGGGCCCGCACAAGCGGUGGAGCAUGUGGUUUAAUUCGACGCAACGCGAAUAACCUUACCUAGGCUUGACAUGCAGGAGCAAGCUCUCAGAAACGAGAGCCCCUCUUCGGAGAUCCUGCACAGGUGCUGCAUGGCUGUCGU
rnacentral:rRNA from 1 species